AUUGAACGCUGGCGGCAGGCCUAACACAUGCAAGUCGAACGAGUGGCGGACGGGUGAGUAAUGUCUGGGAAACUGCCUGAUGGAGGGGGAUAACUACUGGAAACGGUAGCUAAUACCGCAUACCAUCAGAUGUGCGCAGAUGGGAUUAGCUAGUAGGUGAGGUAACGGCUCACCUAGGCGAAGAUACCUAGCUGGUCUGGGAGGAUGACCAGCCACACUGGAACUUAGACACGGUCCAGACCCCUACGGUGGGCAGCAGUUGGGAAUAUUGCACAAUGGGCGCAAGCCUUAUGCAGCCAUGCCGCGUCUAUGAAGAAGGCCUUCGGGUUGUAAAGUACUUUCAGCGGGGAGGCGUUACCCGCAGAAGAAGCACCGGCUAACUCCGUGCCAGCCGCCGCGGUAAUAC
rnacentral:rRNA from 1 species